rnacentral:rRNA from 1 species
CGGACGGGUGAGUAAUGCUUGGGAAUCUGGCUUAUGGAGGGGGAUAACUACGGGAAACUGUAGCUAAUACCGCGUAAUAUCUUCGGAUUAAAGGGUGGGACUUUCGGGCCACCUGCCAUAAGAUGAGCCCAAGUGGGAUUAGGUAGUUGGUGGGGUAAAGGCCUACCAAGCCGACGAUCUCUAGCUGGUCUGAGAGGAUGACCAGUCACACUGGAACUGAGACACGGUCCAGACUCCUACGGGAGGCAGCAGUGGGGAAUAUUGCACAAUGGGGGGAACCCUGAUGCAGCCAUGCCGCGUGAAUGAAGAAGGCCUUCGGGUUGUAAAGUUCUUUCGGUGAUGAGGAAGGUGUUUGUUUUAAUAGAGCAAGCAAUUGACGUUAGUCACAGAAGAAGCACCGGCUAACUCCGUGCCAGCAGCCGCGGUAAUACGGAGGGUGCGAGCGUUAAUCGGAAUGACUGGGCGUAAAGGGCACGCAGGCGGUGACUUAAGUGAGAUGUGAAAGCCCCGAGCUUAACUUGGGAAUUGCAUUUCAUACUGGGUCGCUAGAGUAUUUUAGGGAGGGGUAGAAUUCCACGUGUAGCGGUGAAAUGCGUAGAGAUGUGGAGGAAUACCGAAGGCGAAGGCAGCCCCUUGGGAAUAUACUGACGCUCAUGUGCGAAAGCGUGGGGAGCAAACAGGAUUAGAUACCCUGGUAGUCCACGCUGUAAACGUUGUCGAUU